rnacentral:lncRNA from 1 species
AUGUAUCUUCCCCGGUGCUUAGAACAGUGCCUGGCACAUAGUAAGUGCUUAGGAAAUACCACAAUUAUCAUCAUCAUCUCUUCACCCAGGGCUCUUCUCCUUCCACUGUAUCUUCCAGCGCCUCAUCCAUCCUCUGGUCGUCCCCACGCAACCCGAGUGGCUUUGACGGCCAGUGCGGAGGAAGCCGUAGAGCAGGGACUUCGGCCCACGAGGACACAGGUUCAAAGCCACAGUGGGGUCCAAGUGAUCGAUGAAUCAGUCCACAUUCCACGUUAUCAGCUUGGGACAGUUUGCCCAACUGGUUAUCUGCGUCUUAGAGAAGCAACAUUGCCUAGUGAAGGGCCCAUGGGAGUCAGAGGACCUGGGUUCUCAUCCUGUUUCCACCACUUAUCUGCUUACGUGACCUUGGGCAAGUCAAUUCACUUCUCUGGGCAUCGGUUACCUCAUCUGUACAAUGAGAAUUAGGACUGCGAGCCCCAUGUGGGACAGGGACUGUGUCCAACCGGAUUUGCUUGUAUUUACCCCAGUGCUUAGUACGGUGCCUGGCAUAUAUUGAGCCCUUAACAGAUAACACAAUUAUUAUUAUUAUCUUCACGUCCUUGGGACAGGAUUUCUUUAAGUUCUGGCCCCUGAUGAUUUUCUUCUCUCCACCCUGUCUGAACC